UGUGUGUGUUGGGGUGGGGGGUUUGGGGGUCAUGUUUUUAUAUCUUGUUGGGGACCAAAUGGUACAAGAUCGUCUUUUGUGUAUUCUGUCAUUUGUGCGCUCCUUUAAUGCUACUGUAAUGUACAGACAGGGAGCUCUGAUACGUUCCUGUGAGCAGUGUGCCGAACAAUAGCAUUGCACACACACACACGUAUAAAUCAGUGCUGGUGUGUAUACCAACACUUCCCCCACAUGUGAUUAAACUCUUGUGUAUUGAUCUCUGUCCUGAAGCAUGCAUGGUUGUGAAUGCAUGCUUUCAUCCAAUCUGAACGUAAAUUCAUGAAAAAAAGAGUGAGUGUGUGUGGAUGCAUGUUCUAGUACCUUCUAGUUUCAUUUGUACGUGCCGUCUAUGUUUAUUUAAAAAGGAAAGAAAGAAAGGACAGCAUGUGUGCAUGUUCUAGUAGGUUACUAAUCUAAUAUGUGGGUGCAGUUUGGAGUACCUCAGUCAAGGGACUGAAUACUACUAAAGGAGAGAUUUCACAGACGUUUCGAAACACUUGUUUUCACUUCAUCGGGGAUUACUACACACAGAUUAAUUGCGAAAAAUUCAGUUUAAUCCAUCCAUCCAUAUUCUGUACCGUUUUUACCUACACAGGGUCACGGGAUAGCCCGUAGCGUAUCCCAGAGAGCUCGGGGCACAAGCAGGGGGACACCCUGGACGCAUGUCUUCGGACUGGAGGAGGAAACCGGAGUACCCGGAGGAAACACCCGAAGCACGGGGAGAACAUGCAAACUCAGUGUGCACACAGGCGGGAUUCGACCCCCCAACCCCGGCGGUCUGAGGCGAUUGUAUUUACAAAAUAAAGUUUAACACUUUAAUUUGAAAUAUUAUUAAUAUUAUUCAAUUCGAUUUGAUUUGUAUAGCGCUUCUAGAAUGAUCUCAAAGCAGCUUUACAGAAACAUACAAACACAGGAUGGAGAUUUUAAGUGUGUGGAUUUAUCCCUAUUGAGCGAGACGGUGGAGACGGUGGUGAGGAAAAACUCCCGAAGAUGAUAUGAGGAAGAAACCUUGAGAGAAACCAGACUCGGAAGGGAACCCGUCAUCAUCUGAGUCACACCGGAUAUAAGGCAAAAUCCAGCCUUUACUGAUAAUUGUGCGGCUGAGUGAAACGCUAUCAUUCACCGAGCACCAGGCUUUGCGAGAGGUGAUGAUGCAUCAGGGUGCCAUUAAUCGCCUAAUCCAAGAAGGUGGUGUUAGUGAGGUGUAGCUGCACUGCUGAGACAAAAAAAAAAAAAAAAAAAAAAGACCUCAUGGAGCAUGUGGUAUAAAUAGACCCUCAAAUCGAUAAAACUGAACUAAGCGAGUCUUUACGUUUAUUUACGUGUGUGAAUGGAAGCCUGUCCUGACUCAAACAGCUCAAUAAGCAUUGAGCUGGAGUUAAUCGAUAUAUCACACGGUAUAUACUCUGUACAUUCUGCUUUGUAAAGUGCGCAUCAUAUACACAGAGGAUUAACACCAGGGCUCAGCUUACCUCUUUAUAGGGUGUCAGGUUGAGGGAUGAUGAGGGUGUACAAACUUUCUGUCAGUAGGCUUCAUGCUGCGCCGACAUGAUGAACGGUUUCAAUUUUCCACAUGCAAUCUGAUAAGAAAUGAUAUGAAUUUUCCAGUUAGCUCAGCGACUGAAAUGUGUUCCUCUCGCUUUCUGUCUGCACUUCGUCUCAGGGUUCCCUUCCAGAAGCUUCUGAUAGCUGACCGAGGGCUUGGUGCUGCUUGCAGGAAUAUAUAUAUAUAUAUAUAUAUAGUGUAACAUUUAAUAGAUAAGUCUGUACUUUUAGCCCUCCAUCAGUUUCUUAACAUUGUACAUAGUACAUUGGCUAAUAACAUUUAGGCUUCAUAGUUUAUCAGGUGUAAUCCUUCUGGAUCCAAAGAGCUGAAAUGAAAAGAAAAUGAACCACAAAAAAAUUCUCCAAAAAGGUUCUAUAUAGCUAGCAGGAAGAAGGCUGAGGCCGGUAAAAUGAGCAGGGGACCAUCACCACUUUCCCUGGCUCCGGAUGAGGAGCCGGAACUGUCCCUUAAUCAAGGGUGACCCACGGUCGAUGGGAUUCCAGGGAGCAGUUCAUCAGCGUCAGCUGCCUAUCGUGAUAUGAGAGACUUGGUAAAAUUUCAUAUAGGUCUCGUCAAUGGAAGGGCACAUAUGUGGCUGCAAAGUGGAUGGGUGGAGGGCUGUAAUUCCCAAAUAUGCGGUCAAUCAUCUUCUACAACCUGAGUGUACUGGCCUCAGCAGGGUAUGUGGAGAGGAUCUUCUCCAGGACGGCAAAUUAAUGGAGCGAUGUCCAUAACCAGUGCUUUGUGGAGCUCAUGAGGAAUGAGCUCCUGAUCUCACUCGACUUCGACCUGCCCUGUGCCGACUUUCAGUCAUUUUGAAAGAUAAGUCAUUGCUUAAUGCAGCAAGGAGGGAUUAAAAAGUACUCAUGGAAGAGCAAGUAAUGAAGAAAGAAAAUAAUUCCUCUCCAUGGAGAGAGAUGAAAUGAACUGUUCCAUAGACAC